GGACAACAGAUCCACACCUGGGAGCGUGAUGGAGGGUGAAGGGAUCCGCUGUGGUCCAGGACAAGCUGCACUUGCUGCUCAGGAGAACUUGAUGGCAGCUGAAGAGAACCCAGUUGAUCAAAGACGUGCUGGAACUUCUGUUCAGGAAAUUGAAGCACUGAGGAUGGAAGUCAGAAGACUUAAGAGGGAGGUGAAGUCAAUGUAUAGAGAAGUUGCAAUGAUACGCAGAAAAAGCCAGGAAA